rnacentral:tRNA from 1 species
AUUUAUGAAACUUUUGAGUAUUUUU